rnacentral:rRNA from 1 species
UAACAAGGAUUCCCCUAGUAACUGCGAGUGAAGCGGGAAGAGCUCAAAUUUAAAAUCUGGCGGCUUCUAGUCGUCCGAGUUGUAACCUGGAGAGGCAUUUUCUGCGUUGGACCGUGUACAAGUCUCCUGGAAUGGAGCGUCAUAGAGGGUGAGAAUCCCGUCCAUGACACGGACCGCCAAUGCUCUGUGAUAUGCCUUCAAAGAGUCGCGUUGUUUGGGAAUGCAGCGCAAAAUGGGUGGUAAAUUCCAUCUAAAGCUAAAUAUUGGCGAGAGACCGAUAGCGAACAAGUACCGUGAGGGAAAGAUGAAAAGCACUUUGGAAAGAGAGUUAAACAGUACGUGAAAUUGUUGAAAGGGAAACGCUUGAAGUCAGUCGCGUUCCGUGGAACUCAGCCUUACUUCGGUUUGGUGUACUUUCCAUGUGAACGGGUCAACGUCAAUUUUGACCGGUGGACAAAGACAAAGGGAAUGUAGCGUUGCUUCGGUGACGUGUUAUAGCCCCUUGUUGUAUACACCGGCUGGGAUUGAGGACUGCAGCACGCCCUUGUGGCCGAGGGGUUCGCCCCUACGUACCGUGCUUAGGAUGUUGGCAUAAUGGCUUUAAGCGACCCGUCUUGAAACACGGACCAAGGAGUCUAACAUGCUUGCGAGUGUUCGGGUGGAAAACCCUUGCGCGUAAUGAAAGUGAAAGUUAGGAACCUUCUCGCAAGAGAGGGUGCACUGACGCCCGGCCCUGACGUUCUCUGACGGUGCUGCGGUAGAGCAAGUAUGUUGGGACCCGAAAGAUGGUGAACUAUGCCUGAAUAGGGCGAAGCCAGAGGAAACUCUGGUGGAGGCUCGUAGCGAUUCUGACGUGCAAAUCGAUCGUCAAAUUUGGG